rnacentral:rRNA from 1 species
UACGGAGGGUGCAAGCGUUAGUCCGGAUUUACUGGGUUUAAAGGGUGUGUAGGCGGGCCUUUAAGUCAGUGGUGAAAUCUCCAGGCUCAACCUGGAAACUGCCAUUGAUACUAUUGGUCUUGAAUUCUGUUGAGGUGGGCGGAAUAAGUCAUGUAGCGGUGAAAUGCAUAGAUAUGACUUAGAACACCAAUUGCGAAGGCAGCUCGCUAAACAGACAUUGAACGCUGAGGCACGGAAAAGC